AAUUUUCGGAAUCCAAAUUAGGGCUUGUUUGAUUCGAAUGAGAUUCGUCCAUAGCUGAUCAAGCUUAAAAGUUAGUCAACACAGCUUUUAAGUAGGAAGGCGUCUUAAAGAAGGGGUAAGCCAAACAGCCUGUAUAUUUUCUCCAAUUCAGGGCUCAUUUGUGAAAGCCCUGGGUUGAAGGAGGAGGAGGUUCGUUCGGAGAGCUGGGAUUUGCGAGGGCCGUUGCCGCUCUCCGUGGAAGGUGAUCUCUGUUUUCGCAGAUUGUUCGUCUGAGAGCCGAUGAUUCGCCGACUGAAACCAACUGCCCUCUGUGUGUGUGUGUGUGUGUGUGUGCCCGUUAAAGGGGGUGAACAAAAUUGCACUCGUUAAAAAAGGGUAAGCCAAACAGCAUCUGAAUAUUUUCUCCAAUUUAGGGCUCAUUUGUGAAAGCCCUGGGUUGAAGGAGGAGGUUCGUUCGGAGAGCUGGGAUUUGCGGGGGCCGUUGCCGCUCUCCGUGGAAGGUGAUCUCUGCUUUCGCAGAUUGUUCAUCUGAGAGCCGAUGAUUCGUCGACUGAAACAAACUGCCCUGUGUGUGUGUGUGUGUGUAUCUAAUCUAUCAGGGAAAUGCUAUUUGUACACUUAGUUGCCUAUGGGUAACGCAUUAUGGCUUUGUUUCUGCUUCUUCUUCAUCACCGAUCUCUUGAGGCUGUGAUGAUAAGAAUAUUCUGGGUCAAGAUCAGCAUUUGCCGGAGGGGAUUCGACCCGGUUCCUGGCGGGACAACCCGGAUGGCCAUUGAAAAGGGGGCUCUGUUCUGUUUGUUCUUUUUGGUACAUCGGAAAUAAUUGUAAAUGGCAUGAGUUCGAAUCCGCAAUCUCAUGCCUAGUGAGCGACGCUUGUGGCCUUUGUUCUCCUCUUUCACUAGGCAACCGAUGUUCCUAGCCAGGGUGGGAAUAUUCUCUUCUCGGCCUACUGAUCUGACUUGGGAAAUUUGGAAAAAUUGGAAAAAUAGGACUUUCGGUACUGAACUUUGGAAAAAUAGGACACUUUUCAAAUCUUUGCAAAACUACGACUUUUGAAAAUUGAUUGGAGGCUCCAUAGAUCUGAGCCUCCAUAUGAUUUAAGCCAAGACGAACCCGCUCUGUUUCCCCCAAAACACAGCCUUAAGAAAAGAUUGCGACCCAGAAAAUACAUGAGGCUGGGCAUGGAGAGCUGGGAAUUUGCCAGGGCUGUUGCCCCUCUCCGUAGAAAGGUGAUCUCUGUAUAUGCAGAUCGAUCAGCUGGGAGCCGAUGAUUUUCUUAAUCCAACUCAACAGUCCUUUCUAAUCAAUGACCCGAAUGGAUGUCACGUUCUUUUCUUUCGUAGUUUCUGCUGGCAAAUGGGCCCUUAAUGAAAAUCGAAAGACUUUUGGCCCAGAAAAAUGAGUGAGGCUUCCGGCAGAGAGAUGGGAUGUUUCUGAGGGUGGUUGCCCCUCUCUGCAUCAAACAAUGAAGCCAGUGAUUUCGUCGUCUUCUCCACAAAUCAACAACCCUUUGGGUGCGUGUGUUUUUACACAUACUGUAUGUAUAUGUAUGUAUGUGUGUAUGUAUAUUACGGCAUGGCUGUUUGGCAGUUGUCUUCAUCAUCAUCUUCAUCAAUCAUCAUCAUCUUGUUUCACUUCCUACAAGUUCCAAAUUCUUAUGAGGCUGUGAUGAUAAAUUCUCUGGGCCCAGAUCAGGGGUUGGGCGGACCGACCUGGUUCCUGGCGGGGCAACCCGGAUGGUCCUGUGGGGGAGGGAGGCAAAGAAAGAUGGUCACGGACUCUGUUUUCCUUCCUCCCUUACUGGGCAACCGGCUUUUGCAGCCACGGUGGUGGGUUGCCGGUCUUCUCAAUUUACCGAUCCGAUUAGAUCUGAGUCUCAAUCCCCAUUCUUAUUCUUUUAUACAUGGAUCCUCCCACUUCUACAUCUUUUCUUGUGAUUUUUGAGAUAUACAAUUGCAGAACUAGUGUUAGGGUUUUAUACCCUCUUUGGCUAUUGAAUUGAGCAUCAAACCAACCUUCUCGGUAACAGAAUUGAGCUUGUUUUGUUUUGUUUUUUUGUUUUUUUUUUUAUUUUGGAAUCGGGCUUGGUUUAAUGUUGAUAAUGACCAGCCUUCAAAUGCAGGUACAAUCUGUUCUAGAAAUGGAAGUUGUAAAUUGAUGGUGCAUUUUCUUCAUGAUGUGGCCUAUUUUUACAUUAGAUCUCACGUGGUUAUUUUUAACCACCUCUCUUCUAGUUGAAAGUGUGUGUGUGCGCAAAAGUGUAUUUUAAGAAAUAUAUUAUAUCAACUCAAACAUUUAAAUCAAUCGGGCUAGGGUAAAAAUGUCCUACGUCUCCGAUUGUGAUUUGAGUUACAAAAAAUAAAUUGAACCUAGAAAGAGGCACGGAGAGUGGAUUGUUGCCUGCUCUGUGAAGCCCAUCUUUGAUGUCAGAUCAUCCAAAACCAAUGAUUUCAACCACCAUUAGGGAAACCAACAGUCCUUCUGUCUCUUCUUCCUCUUUUCUUUGCAAUUCUUAUUGCUUUCGCUGCUGCUGAAUGUGGAUAUUGAAGAUAGAAACUAAGAAAGCAUUUUCUACAACUAAAUAGCCCUCAAAAUGUUGGCCUAGAAGUGAGACUGAAUUGAGGCUUCUUGGGGCAGAGUGAUGGGAUAUUUCUGGGGGUUGUUUCCCCUGUCUCUGAGUGUGUGGUUUCUUCUCUUGUAUCCAAGAAAUCAACAGCCCUGUGAGUGUGUGUGUGUGUGUGUGAAGCAUUCUGACUUUGCUGCCGCUGCUUCUUCUUCAUCUCCAUUCUUUGGAGGCUGUGAUGGUAAAUAUUCUGGGUCCAGAUCUUUUGUCAAAGGGGAUUCCACCCAGUUCCUGAGGGGGCAACCCGGAUGGCCAUUGAAUGGGGCUAUGUCUCUUUCACUAGGCAACUAAAUGACUAAUGUUCGCAACCAAUCAGGAGUGGCUACUCCUCCCAGCCUACUGAUCUAGAGCCCAUAUGUUUUAUUUCUGAUUUUGAGGAUGGAAGGUGUUUGCCAAACCUUCGGGGUGUGGUGUAAUUUACCUUUGCAUAUAUAGUCAACCAGCUAGUGUUUAUGGUCACUCAUUAGUUUAAUAAUGAGGCUCACAUGGAGAGCUGGGAAUUUUUGAAGGUUGUUACCCCUCUCUGUCGACUGUUGAUGAUCUCUGUCUAGACGGAUUGGUCAUCUGGGAGCCAAUGAUUUCUCAAUUCUCAACAAAAGGAACAACCGCCCUUUUUGCAUAUACACAUGCAGGAGAGAAGCCCAAUCCUUGCGGGGCACUCAUGGCCACUGUUUCUGCAGCCACAGCUUUCUGGCUUGCCUGAGAAUUGGCGACUCUGAGCUUCCCCUCUUCCCCUGUCUCUCUACUUAAAUAGUUUCUUGGUUUUUUCAGGGUAUUUAAGCUGUUCUUUGUGCGGUGUCAUUGUGAACUUUUAUUUUCAAUUUCCCUGGAAAUGCUUUUUGGUGAGAGUUGAUUCAUUUGAAAAGGUCUGUCUUGGUAUUAAGUUUAUUUAGUAAUAAUGUUGUAUUAUUUUUAAUAUUUUAUGAAUCUGUAAAUUUAACAUUUAAAAUUAAUUAUAUUUUGAUUAUUUUCUGAUUGACUGCUAGGAAAACUAUUUCUCCCGGAGAGAAGGAAAAUAAAGGCAGAUUCUCUACAAUGUUUCCUCAAAUUUUGCAAAUUUUUUUAUCUAAUUUUUAUCAAAAAUAUUUAGGAAAUAAAUAACAUUAUUAAAAAAUAUGCAUCAUGCUUGACAAAUGUAGGAAACAGGUAUUCCCACCAAGUUAUUGCUCUGUAUGCCAUUUCAAUUUUUGCAUUCUGUGUGCUUGUAAAUUUACAUAUGGUUUCUGGUAGUUGGCAUAAACGGGGUCCUGUCAUCUCUGCUCUCUCUUGCAUUCACGCAAGGGGAUGUGGCCUCUCAUCCUGGCUUACUGAUCUAUGGAUCUGCGCCUUCAUGUACCCACAUCAAUUCUAACAUCUUUUGGGAUUACCGUUCUUGCGCGGUCUCCCGCUAUUCGUGCCCUCGAUUUUGGCAGAUGAGGUAAAUCCCAGGCGGGCCUUUGGCCUUACAAGUAUCGAACUCGUGACCUAUUGGUACUAACUCUAUUAUAUCACUUGGCUGCCACUUGACUUAUGCCCUGCAGACUAAUUCUAACAUCUUUUCUUCUUAUAUCUGCAUGCAACAUGUGUUUUACUUGUGGUUUUGACGAUGGGAGGUGUUUUGUGCAAGGAAUGGAUCUUAUGGUUUGAAUGUAUUUUGAUUGCUUCUGCAUCUUUACAAAUCCAGCAUGAACUGGUUUUGUCUCUGCAUUUGUUACCAAGCAUCGAAUUGAUUUAGGUUGGUCAUGAAUGUUAUUUUUAUUUGGAAAUUUUAAUCAUAAAAAUUAGAUGUUACUAAUUAAUUACAAUGUGCAAUAAAAGAUCCCCAGCAAGCCUUCACAAUAGUUUUGGGUUAGUUUCAUGUGCUUGAAUUACGUAAGGGGAAAAUAUUCUUUAAGUAAAACCAUUUCUCAAGUUUUAACAAGUGAAAUGUUGGUAGAGUUUUAUUUUUUUUAAAGUAUGAGUCAGUCCACAAAAAUGGAUGUCAGCCAGUUCGGCUAAAACUUUGAAUGUAGCUAUGAACAGGACUUCUCUGCAGCAAUUAGUCUUCUAGAUAAGCUCUAAUGCUUUCAUUCAACUCUUAUAUUUCUUGUUAAAUAUUUCUUCUACCGGUCAUCCAUUUUGCCAGCAUGUUGUGUGAUCCAUCUCUAGAACGAAUGGAGGCUGAGGUGGUUGAAUGUGCUUGUGUUAUCAGCUUGCCCAAUGUCUAGGUAAUGCUUAAUCUAUCGCUCUGUGAUAGAUGCCACUUGCCUUUUCUUGUCAGUACCUGUUUCAGCAUCGAUGUUAUUGAUUUUUUUUUUUUUACUUGUUUGUCGAAUUGUGGAAGGGUAAUGAAAAUGCAAUUUGAACCGAUAAUUUGAUGAAUAUAGAGCAAAAUAAAACAGACCUAAAUAACAACUUGAGUUAAGGUUAAGGGUUUGGCAAGAAACAACCAAUAGCUAGAAAAGAUAUUAAAACUUUGAAAAUAUGUAAGCUAGCCAAAUAGGGUGGUUGAAGUAGAGUAAAAGGAGUAACCCACAAAUAGCUUGCCCUUGUUUAAGGGGGUGGCCAAACACAUUUGUAUAUUGUUUGAUCUUCCCCACUCCAAUCAUCUUCUCUCCCCCUCCCCACUCCUGAUUCUUCCCAUUGUUUCUUCUCUAAACCCCUUAACCAUGUGUAGUGUUUCUCAUGAACAUUUACUAGUGCUAUGUACAUUUUCUUUCAUAGGGAUUUUUGUUAUAGAAAAGUCUUAUGUGAUAAUGUAUUUUGGAUGGAACAAUAUAAUGUAUUUUGGAUGUAAAUAUUGUUCCAAAUUCAUGCUAAAAGAGUGCAUUUCACUCUUUGUCCAAUUUACAAACUUGCUCUUCAGUGAUUGUGCAUUUGCACAAUGUCCAAAACACUCUUCCUCUUCUUUUCCUUGUGGUAUUCAAUAGACCAGAUAGUAAUCUGUCACGAUCCUAGGGUUUACUAGGGUCUGAAUAGGAAAUUGAAGAAGAAAGAACAGAAUUGGAGGGAGAAAACAGAACAAAAAGAAGGAGAAAUGGAGAAGGAAAGGAAAGGUUUUAGAAGUACAGAGGGAGAGAGAAGAGUGGGAGUGAAGAUCAAUUUUGGGUUUUGAAGAGUGGGAGGGAAAGGUUUUAGUCAGUGCACAUUUUGGCCUAGUUGUGCACAUAUUCCUUUCCUAGUACUCGUAUUUGUACCUGUACUUGUUGAGUAAUAUAUAGUUAGUCCUUCAUCUUUGUCCACAUUGGGUAACAGAUAUCCACUGGAGACUUGUAUACAUUCAAUUUAAAUUAAAUAUUCAACUUAUUCAUUUCUUAUCUCAAAUUUUCUAUCAAAAUUUGGGAUUGUUGCAUUUUGUAGGUUCAAAUUGUUGAAAGCUGAUUUUUUGAUGUUGAAUGUUUAUCCUAGGCUUCCUUGCUAAUAGCCAAAAACCAGCCUUUGGUACCUGCCUUAAAUGGACUGAAUUUGUCAGAUAUAUGUCAAAUGGCAUAAAAAUUGUCGUCCCUACAUUUUGGUUGAGUAUUAUUUUCCUAGUCUUAUUAUUUCUACAAGUUUCAAUCAAAGAUCCAGAAAAUGAACGAGGCUUCCCACAAAGAGAUUGGAUGUUUUUGAGGGUGGCUGGCCUUCUCUGUAUGUACCAAAAACUGGAAACUUGUGUUCUGUCCUUAUUUGGGAUUCCGGAACAAGUAUGGCAAGUGUCUCAUAAGAAUCCUUACUACUAAGUAAUUGUGCAGCAUAAUUUCGUUUCAAUUUAUUUGGAAUUGUGAUUAUAUGGCUGGUCUCUUUCCAUAGAUACAUAAGGUGUUCUAUUCCGGUUAUUUUUGUGAAAUCUUCCGAAUAUGAGUUCAGAGAGUUCAAAUGUAGAUUGGUGCAUCGGCAGAAUGCUGAAUCUCACUGGUAUUGGAUUAACACUGAAUUCAAAUUCAUGGUUCUAAAAUUUCAUGCAACUAUUGUUUGGGAAGUUUUGUUUUUCUUUCCUAUAUCUGAUAAUCAAAGAUAAAGUAAAAUCAACCAUCGCACAAGGUUGUCUAGAAUUCAGCUAAAUUUUGAGCCUUGGAUAAAAUAAAUUAUUUGGAUAAUCUUAAAGAUUUAGUGUCUAAACCAUCAGAAGAGGUGUCACUGAAGAGUUGGGGGUUUUGUUUACUUGUGCUAGAAAAGAUAAUUGUUGAAGUAGUUAGAUCAGCAAACCUUCUAUUGAGGGCCGCUACUAUGUGUAUAUCAUUUUGUUCUUGAGCUAAUUUUGUUUUUAGAUGAUAUAAUCCAAAAUAUGAGGUGAUAUUUAUUAUAUUGAACCUGGAAUCAUCAGACUGAACCAUCUUUUCCCCAACUCGUAUUCAUAGUAGCAGAUGUUUGGUCAACUGCCAGCUGGCUCCUGCAACCCCAACUCGUGCUCAGCAGGUCAUGAUUGUUGUGCCUUUGUUCUGACUGGCACCAACUGUUCGGACCCUGGAGACCUUCAGCAGGAUUCAUAUAAAUAAAUAUCAAGGAAUUGAAACUGCUGGACACCGACCCGAUACCCGACCCACCCGGGUUGGGUUUAAAAUGGCAUGUUAGAGCAGGCCAACAUCCGACCAAGCCCUAGCGGCCCCCUGUUGCUUUCUCCCCCUGGCCUGCGUCUCCGUUUACUCUUCUUCUUCGGCCAGCAUCCGCCGGCCGUCGGCUCGCCUACUCUUCCUCUCCUCUGGCAGUCCCUUCUCUCUCCUCCGGCCAACUGACUGCCAUCCCGACGCCGGUAACCGGAGUUUCUCCGAUUUAAGGUUUGUUGGUCACAAGACCAAGGCGAACCGGCUGUCGGAAUCUGCCAUGGACGGUGGCCAGCGAUUCCUUUCCAAAAACGGUAGCCUUUUUUCCAAAAAAAUAGUAUUCAGAUCUAGUGAGAUCCAACACCACCAUGGAACCACCUUUCACUCCCUCUCUUUCGCUAUCUGCUCUCUCUUUCUGUCUCUCUCCCUCUUUCAUUAUCCAUGAUAUAUACGUAUAUACGCGCGGUUGGGUUUGGCGGGAAGUUUAAGCUUAGAUCUAUGGAGAUUCGGCCGUUGGAUCUUGUUGGUUUUUGGGUAUGUUGGUCGAUGGGGAUAAGGGUGUUGAGUGGUUGCCUCUGAUCGCCGGAAACCAGCGGCCACGGUGGCGGUGGCGACUGCCAGUGCGUUUUUCAGUUCUGGCCAAAAAUUAAAAAUCAGAUCUAUAAAAUCCAGCCGUUAAAUCUGGCCCAUUUUUAUGUAUGUUAACCCCCUUGGCUUGGCGUUUCUAAUGGUAUGCUCUGAUCGUGGGAAUCUCCGGCCAGCGAUGGUCGCCAACUGUUGGAUGAGGAGGCUCGUCUGGAGAGCUGGGGGUUUGCGAGGGCCGUUGCCGCUCUCCGUGGAAGCUGAUCUCUGUUCUAGCAGAUUGAUCAUCCCAGAGGCGAUGAUUCACCGUCUGAAACAAACUGCCCUGUGUCUAUCUAUCUAUCUAUCUAUCUAUUCUAUUAUAUAAGCAAUGUCCCUUUGUGGUGAUACCACUGGGUAUCUCGUUCUGGCCUUUUGCUUUUGCUUGCUCCUCUUCUUCUUCUUCUUCUUCUUCUUCUUCACCAUUGUUUUGAGGCUGUGAUGAUAAUAAUAUUCUGGGUCCAGUUCGGCAUUUGCCAAAGGGAUUCGACCCAGUUCUGGCUGGGCAACCCGGAGGGCCAUUGAAAGAGGUGUUCUGUUCUCCUCUCUCACUUGGCAACCGAUCUUUGCAGCCACAAUGGGGCGGCUUCUCUUCUCGGCCUGCUGAUUUAAACUAGAUCUGAGCCUCCAUAUUAUUUAAGGAAAGAUUGUGACCCAGAAAACACAUGAGGUUGGACGCGGAGAGCUGGGAAUUUGCAAGGGCUGUUGCCCCUCUCCAAAGAAAGGGAUCUCUCUAUCCCCAGAUUGAUGUCUGAGAAUCAAUGAUUUUCUAAAUCAAACUCAGCAGCCCUUUCUUUUAAGAUGGCUUUUAAGCCUUUCUAUUUGGGGGGUGUUUGGCUUACCAGUUUGACCACUUAUAAGCUAUUAGUGAAGUUUAAACUCUCUAUAGCUUAUUUAGUUACACGUUUCUUAAAAAUUAAAGAGUUUAAACGCUAUUUGACUGUUAUUUUUUUGAAACGUUGUCAAAUAACGUUUAAACUCUUUAAUUUUUAACAAAUGUGUAAUUAAAUAAGCUAUAUAGUGUUUAAGCGUCAUUUUCUCUCUCAGGUUUACCUUUGUUGCAGCAUACAGCUACUCUCUAUCUCUUUGACCGUCCCCUUAUCAUUGUGCCCCCUUUUUGCCCGGUUGCUCGGUGCCACUGUCGAUUCACAACUCUGAUUGAUCCGUGCUUGGUGUGGCUGUUUCUGUGCAACACGAAUUGAUUCACAACUCCGAUUGCUUGGUGCCACUGUUUUCGUGCAACACGAAUCAUCACUACCCCUUGCCAAACUCUGAUUGCUCAGUACUGUCGUUGAUUCAGUAUAAAGGGGUAUGAUUUCUUUUGUUUUUCUUCUGUUGUCUGAUUAUUGAUUUUAUUUCUGGUGAUUCUUGUAUUGCUUCAUUUUGACUUGAAAGGUAAUGAUUUUGCCUUUCUCAAAUUGUUUGAUUGCUGUCUGUAAGGUAAUGAUUUUGCCUUCAUUGUGAUAAUUUGAUUGAGGUUUUAUAAUAUUUCAGAGGGAUGGGAACCUUUUCUUGCUAGGGAUGGGAACCUUUUCUUGCUAGGGUUGUUGCUUUUUUACUUUUGUUCAGCAGUUCUUUUUUUUUUUUUCUCUCAAGAAAUUCUUUUGGUAGAAAAGAGGGGUAGAGCCCAAGAAACUAAUUCUUACCAUUAUGAGACUGCCCUCUUACUACAACAAUUGUUGGACAACAGCCACUUAAUUUAUUAACAAUUGCAACAUGACCCAGGGCGACGUUUACUAGAUGUGAGUUUAUAGCAGUUGAAAACUUGAAAUAGCUUCAUGGCAAGCUUUGCUAUACUGGAUUUUCUUUCACUCCUUAGGGCUUGUAAAAAGUAAACUUAUAUUUUCUUUGUGGCAGUUUGUUUUAUUAUAUUCUAUAGCUCUCUGAUGAAGCUCAUUUUUAGGCUUACAACUAACACAGUUUGCUUUCUUUAUGCAUUGUAUCACGGUUGCAUUGAAUAUUUUCUCCCACUGAUUGAAUUUAGGGAUCAAUCAUGAAAGCAGUGAAUUCAGAGAGCUGGGGAUUUGCAAGGGCUGUUGCCCCCCUCUCCAUGGAAGGUGAUCCCUGGUUUCACAGAUUGAUCAUAUGAGAGCCGAUGAUCCAUUGAUUAUAUCAACAGCCCCCUGUGAGUGUGUGUGUGUGUGUGUGAGAGAGAGAGCAAUGCAUUCUGGCAUUGCAUCUGCUUCUGUUCCUUCUUCUACAUUUCCAUUCUUUAGAGGCUGUGAUAAUAAAUAUUCUGGGUCUGGAUCAGUUUUCUAGGGAUUUCACCCAAUUCCUGGCGGGGCAAACCCGGAUGGCCAUAGAAAGGGGGUCUCUGUUCUCUCUCAAUAGGCAACCGUCGUUUGCUGCCAUGGCUUUGGUGUCUACUCUCUUGACCUACUGAUCUAAAUUAGAUCUGAGCCUCCAUAUAAGCUCACAUGAUUUAAGGUAAAGCCAAACUGGCUUCUGGCUUUUUUUUUCUCUCCCAAACAAAGCCUUAAACGAAAGUUAGUGACCCAGAAAACACUUGAGGCUCAAUGUGGGGAGCAGGGAAUUUGCAAGGGCUGUUGCCCCUCUCCUUGGAAAGGUGAUCUCUGUCUCUGCAGUGAUUGUCUGAGAGCCAAUGAUUUUCUAAGCCAAACUCAACAGCCCUUACAAAAAAUCUGGGUGAAUCACUUUCUUUUCUUUUCUUUUCUUUUCGUUUGCAUAUUCUGUGGGGCCCUUAAUGAAAGGCUUGUGACCCAGAAAAUGAAUAUGGCUUCCAGCAGAGAGAUGGGAUGUUUCUGAGGGUGGUUGCCCCUCUCUGCGCCAAACAGAGAAGCCAGUGAUUUCAUCUCCAAAAGUCAACCCCCCUUUGGGUGUGUGUAUGUAUAUAUAUAUAUGUAUAUCGGCACAUUACUGUUCAUUGCCUCAGUCAUCACCAUCACUUCCAAGUUCCAAAUGCUGUUGAGGCUGUGAUGAUAAAUUCUCUGGGUCUUGAUCAGGUGUUGAGUGGAUCUGAUCCAGCUCCUGGCAGGGCAACCCGGAUGGUCCUGGGAGAGAGAGAGAGGGAGGGCUAAAGAAACAUUAUCACUGACAUUGUUUACACCUCUCUCUUACAGAGCAACCGGCGUUUGCAGCCAGGGCGGGGGUCACAGGUCUUCUCAUUAUGCUGAUCUCAUUGGAUCUGAGUCUCAACCGAACUCCAUUUAUGGAUCUUUACCUCUUUUACCUGUUUUGAUACGUAUUUGUUGGGUUUUUUCAAUCGAGUAGUGUCAAAUACUAUUUGGGAUUUGUAAUUGCAGAUCCAGUAUUCAUAAUUGAUACAUCCUUUUGGGAGUGGAGUAUUGAGCUUGGUUUGAUGUCUUGCAGUGGCUGAAAGUUGUAAAUCGAUAUGGUUUUUUCAAGCUUCGGGCCAUUUUGACCUAGGCUGUAUGAAAAAAAUCAUAUUUUUUCAUGUUUUAAUUAUGGAUUUGACUGUUCCUAAAUCCAACUAAUUGUGGUUUGAUAUUUUAAAAAAAUUUAAUAAUUUUUUGUUUCAGUAUUUUAUUUAAAAAAAUAAUUAAAAAUGGUAUAUGAUAUGGGUUGGGGCUUUGGAACCCCAAAACCUCCAUUAUGGUAGGAGACCCUGUUGAAUUUUAUCUACUUAUCAUUUUGUUUUAGCAUUUUUUAAAUCUAUUUUACCUUUAUAGCGUGGCUUUUUAGUAGCUUCAUCUUUAUUAUGGAAUUAUUAUAUUAUGGAUUUUGUAUUCAUAAUUACAUAUUAAAUAAACAUCCAUCUCGGUUUGACUGUUGGCUCUAACCAGUUUGAAAUCUUGUACUUAUUCUUAAAUUGUGUUUUGAAACAAUAUUUGAUUUUAAGAUUGCUUCUCUUUCUCUCUCUCUCUCUUGCUCUCACUCUCGCUGCUCCUGUAUUAGGUUUUAAGAGUGUAUUUGCUUAAAUUAGUUUUGUAAGAGCUUGUUAACAAGGGGGCCCUAGCUCUGAUCUUGAGAAAUUGAAUGGAUGAGGCCUCAAACAGAGAUGUGGGAUGUUUUUAAGAGCGGUUGCCCGUCUGAUAGCCGAUGAUUCAUUGUCCAAAAUCAACUGCCCUUUUCUCAUUGAAUCGAAAUUCUGUAGGAAUAUCAUUUUCCAUGCGGAUGCAGGAUAUGAUGCUUUACGGAAGAUGUGGCCAUGGAAGGGAGUUGGUGAGCAAGAAUUCUCCAAAUGGGAUUAAAAGCAUAUUAACUGCUUGGGGUGGAGAGAUGGGGUGUUUCUGAGGGUGGUUGCCCCUCUCCGUUCAUGUCAAUAAGCCAGUAAUUUCAUGUAUCAUUUCCGAGCAAUUAACUGCCCUCUUGUGUCUCUGUCUAUGCAUGGGGUGUACAACACCAUUCCUGUUACACUUUUACACCUCUGCAUCGCUAAAGCGUUCUGGCUUUGCUGUUGGUUCUUCUUCUUAUCAUUCCUUAAGAGGCUGUUUUGACGAGUUUUCUGGGUCCAUAUCAGUUGUCAAAGGGGAUUCUACCCGGUUACUGGUGGGGCAACGUGGACGGCCGUUGAAAGUGGGGUUCUGCCUCCUCUCUCCUUAGCCAACCGAUGUUUGCAGCCACGGCGGGCGUUGCUUCUCUUCUCGGCCUACUGAUCGAAAUUAGAUCUGAGUCGCCAUAUACGCACUUAACGAGGCAUCUGAUAAGAGAUCAGCCAAAAGCGAAACCGAGAGCCGUCUAUUCAUGGUGUUCUGUCAUGGAUGCAUUAAAUAUUUUAUCCCAUCCAUGGAAUUAGAUAUAUUUUACAAUCUCUAUGUGGAUCAAGAGCCUGCAUGGUAUUGCUAAACCGUGCUAUGGAACAGCUGGGGAUUAGCAAGUCUCUUUGCCCCUGUGUGUAGGAGGCGAUCUUUGUUUUCACAGAUUGGUGUUUGAGAGGCAAUGAUUAUUUGGCUAAAGGGCUAGUCCACGGCCUGCGCUUUGCGGUGCUUCUACCUUUUUCUUCUUCGUUAAAGAGGCUGUGAUGUGAAAUAAUGAGAGUCCAGAUCAGUUGUUGGAAGGGGAUUAUUUCGCCCGAUUCCUGGCUGGGCAACCUGGACGGGCAUUGAAGGCGGCGGGGCUGUGUUAUCUGUUCUGUGGGCAACCGACGUUUGCAGCUAUGGCGGGGUGGGCUACCCUUCUCAGCCAAACUGAUCUAGUUAGGAUCUGAGCCUGAGCCUCCGUUUUUCCUGAUUAUAUCAAAACAUCUUUGAAUAUUAUUUAUGCAUGCAGCCUAUGUUUUGAUGAUGCCAUUGAAUUCGUGUGGGAGAACCAUGGAUGGUGUUUUCAGUAGAGUAGAGAUCUUAAUAGUUUGAACCUAAUUCAAAAUCCAACUAAUUUGGGCGGUUGUUUAGAUUGAUCA